UUUCCAUGGACAACACAUCUGCCUGCCCAUCAGCCCUACAGCCAGCACAAGGCACACCUGUAAGAGAACACAACUGUUGCCAAGGCUCCUCACACAAGAAGAAAUAAGGAGAAAAACAGAGAUGAUUACAAACUCAUGUGAAUGCAUCAGAGUCGCUGUCCCCUGGUUGUCCACUGAGCAUAAUUAAGACACUCAGAUUGCUGCAGAGAAAGGAAUCAGAGGUGAUGCCAAGCAAAUGUGUUAAAACAGACCACUAGAAAUUGACACCAGGCUGGCUGAAAAUGAUCCCAUCCCUUCAGACUCUGAUUCUGAUUAAAUACAUUUAUAUCUGCAAUCUGUACGCCAAGGACUUUUGUUUAAGAAGACCAGAGGACAAGACAUUUCUGCACAGAACAAAGAAGCAAAAAACAGAAA